UAGGGAAUCUUCCACAAUGGACGAAAGUCUGAUGGAGCAACGCCGCGUGAGUGAUGAAGGGUUUCGGCUCGUAAAACUCUGUUGUUGGAGAAGAACAGGUGUGAGAGUAACUGUUCACAUCUUGACGGUAUCCAACCAGAAAGCCACGGCUAACUACGUGCCAGCAGCCGCGGUAAUACGUAGGUGGCAAGCGUUGUCCGGAUUUAUUGGGCGUAAAGCGAGCGCAGGCGGUUUCUUAGGUCUGAUGUGAAAGCCUUCGGCUUAACCGGAGAAGUGCAUCGGAAACCAGGAGACUUGAGUGCAGAAGAGGACAGUGGAACUCCAUGUGUAGCGGUGAAAUGCGUAGAUAUAUGGAAGAACACCAGUGGCGAAGGCGGCUGUCUGGUCUGUAACUGACGCUGAGGCUCGAAAGCAUGGGUAGCGAACAGGAUUAGAUACCCUGGUAGCCCAUGCCGUAAACGAUGAGUGCUAAGUGUUGGAGGUUCCGCCCUUCAGUGC
rnacentral:rRNA from 1 species